GAAAUAUAAGAAUCUGUUUCUUAACUUUUAAAUAAAAAACUAAGAACCGAUUCUUAAAUAAGAGUUUUAAAAGCCGGUUCUUAACUUUUUUAAUUAGAAAUUAAGAUACAGAUUCUUAUAUUCU
rfam:Brassica napus, WGS project CCCW01000000 data, contig: 20763